rnacentral:lncRNA from 1 species
GUUUAGUGGUAGUGUGGUACAGUUCAGUGGUAGUAGGGUAGAGUUUAGUGGUAGUGUUUUACAGUACAGUGGUAUUUUGGUAGAGUUCAGUGGUACUGGGGUAGAGUUCAGUGGUAGUGUGGUAGAGUUCAGUGGUAGUGUGGUAUAGUUUAGUGGUAGUGUGGUAGAGAUCAGUGGUAGUGUGGUAGAGUUCAGUGGUAGUGUGGUAUAGUUUAGUGGUAGUGGGGUAGAGAUCAGUGUUUAGUGGUAGUGUGGUAGAGAUCAGUGGUAGUGUGGUAGAGUUCAGUGGUAGUGUGGUAUAGUUUAGUGGUAGUGGGGUAGAGAUCAGUGUUAGUGUGGUAGUGGAUAGAGUACAGUGGUAGUGGGGUAGAGGUCAGUGGUAGUGUGGUAGAGUUCAGUUGUAGAGAUCAGUGGUAGUGGGGUAGAGUUCAGUGGUAGUGUGGUAGAGUUCAGUGGUAGUGGGGUAGAGAUCAAUGGUAGUGUGGUAGAGUUCAGUGGUAGA